UUUUUAAACAGUGGCGGUUAAAGUUUAAUGUAGUUAAAUCACGUUACAGUUGCUGUGCAUGAUCCACGUAAGUAGCUGUAGGUUUAAACAUGGCUCUUCGUUCCUUGGAUGAUAAGUUAAUGGGAGAAAAGGUGAAUAAUUACUGUAGCUCUUCAGAAGAUGAAGAAGAAGAAAAAGCACCAGCACCUCCCCAGCAUAUUAAACAACCAAGAGCAAAAAAUGGUACUGGUAAAGGAGUGGUUCACACAGGUCCUAAAGGAGUAAUAGAAGAUUGGAGAACCUACAAGAGGUUGGAGUAUGAGAAGAGGGAAGAGGAAGAGAAAAAACGGGAUGAAAUUUUAAAAAAGCUUUCACUGACCUGCGACCCAAAUGCAGGGGAAGAUGGGGUUGAUAAUGAGGAUAAAGAGUUCAUGGACUGGUACAACAAAAAGCGGAUUAUGGAACUAAAAAACAAGUUUGCAUCUAAGUGGGUUGGAAUUGCAUUUGGCAAGGUUACUAACUUGACGGGAGAAAAUUAUGUUGAGGAAAUUGAGAGCGAAAAGAAAUUUGUGACGAUAAUCAUUCAUAUUUAUGAUGAUAAUGUACCUGCAUGCGAAGCAAUGAAUGGCUGUAUACAGGUACUUGCACAAAAGUAUAGAACGGUAAAGUUUUGCAAAGUCAAGGCUUCUGAAGCAAGAGUGUCUUCCAACUUUGUUGAGAAUGGCUUACCAGCACUGCUGGCUUACAAGAACAAUGUUAUCAUUGGAAACUUUGUUGCUCUAUCUGAAACACUGGGGGAAGAUUUCUAUGCAACUGACGUUGAAUCAUUUUUACAUAGCUACGGAACUCUCCCAACUUCAAAUGAGUCGUUAAGCGAUGACUGACAAUCUCUGUUAUUAUUUUUUUCAGUAUCUUUAUGUACUGUUAUCUGUUACAGAGUUGCAUGAAUGGAUAAUGUUUAUAAUUUUCCAUUUAUUAAUAUUUUUUUGACCAUGAAUUGCUAUUGUCAUUCGUCGUAAUGUGUUGUUAUGUUUCUGUGCUAUAUUGUAUCGCACUGUACCCGGACAAGAGCAGUUUUUAAAAUAUGUAUCUUUAUGCACAAACAUAAAGUUACAACUGUAUUAUUCAGUAAUGCAUUGAAUGCUUUUUUAUUUUUAAAAACAUGAAAUCUAUUUACACUGCUUUGGAUGUCUUUCCGAAGAUAGAAAAACAGAUAUGUCUGAAAACAUAGACACAUUAUGUUUAACCAUGCUGGAGUUAGUGGCUGAAAUUCACCAGAAGAAACUGGAGCAAGAGAAACACAUGCAGGAAGGUUACUUGUGUCUGGCUAAAGCCCGAUAUUCCAUGGGUGUGGACCGCGUUUCAUCACUGCAGUACCCAAAUGAAAUCACACCCACAGUCACUAUUAGUUGCAGGGAAAAAGAAAACAACAAAUUUCCUUCCUUUACUGUCACACAAAACUCAAGAUGAAGAAACCAACCCCCCACUUCUGCUGUGAGAAGAAGAAAAAAGACAAAAAAAGAUGAUCAUAAUGAAGCCAGACAAGCAGUAGAAGAAG